ensembl:snRNA U6 U6 spliceosomal RNA
CCGCUUCAGCAGCACAUACACUCAAAUUAAAAUGGUACGGAGAAGAAUAGCAUGCUCCUUGUGCAAGGAUGACACGCACAUUUAUGAAGUGUUCCAUCUUUUA